GACAGAGGAUGCAAGCGUUAUCCGGAAUGAUUGGGCGUAAAGCGUCUGUAGGUGGCUUUUUAAGUCUGCCGUCAAAUCCCAGGGCUUAACCCUGGACAGGCGGUGGAAACUACCAAGCUGGAGUACGGUAGGGGCAGAGGGAAUUUCCGGUGGAGCGGUGAAAUGCGUAGAGAUCGGGAGGAACACCGGUGGCGAAGGCGGGUCUCUGGGCAAUUCCUGACGCUGAGGCGCGAAAGCGUGGGGAGCAAACGGG
rnacentral:rRNA from 1 species